rnacentral:rRNA from 1 species
AUUGAACGCUGGCGGCAGGCCUAACACAUGCAAGUCGAACGAGUGGCGGACGGGUGAGUAAUGUCUGGGAAACUGCCCGAUGGAGGGGGAUAACUACUGGAAACGGUAGCUAAUACCGCAUACCAUCGGAUGUGCCCAGAUGGGAUUAGCUAGUGGGUGGGGUAACGGCUCACCUAGGCGACGAUCCCUAGCUGGUCUGAGAGGAUGACCAGCCAAACGUGAACUGAGACACGGUCCAGACUUCUACGGGAGGGAACAGUGGGGAAUUGUGCACAAUGGGCGCAAGCCUGAUGAAGCCAUGCCGCGUGGAUGAAGAAGGCCUUCGGGUUGGAAAGUACUUUCCGCGAGGAGGCGUUACUCGCAGAAGAAGCACCGGCUAACUCCGUGCCAGCAGCCGCGGUAAUAC